rnacentral:tRNA from 1 species
AGACUAAGGCCCGCUGGCUUAGGUGAUUAGUUGUUAACUAAUGUUUUGCAGGAUCGAGACUUGCUGGUCUAG